rnacentral:rRNA from 1 species
UACUCCUACGGGAGGCAGCAGUGGGGAAUAUUGGACAAUGGGCGAAAGCCUGAUCCAGCCAUGCCGCGUGUGUGAAGAAGGUCUUCGGAUUGUAAAGCACUUUAAGUUGGGAGGAAGGGCAGUAAGUUAAUACCUUGCUGUUUUGACGUUACCAACAGAAUAAGCACCGGCUAACUUCGUGCCAGCAGCCGCGGUAAUACGAAGGGUGCAAGCGUUAAUCGGAAUUACUGGGCGUAAAGCGCGCGUAGGUGGUUCAGCAAGUUGGAUGUGAAAUCCCCGGGCUCAACCUGGGAACUGCAUCCAAAACUACUGAGCUAGAGUACGGUAGAGGGUGGUGGAAUUUCCUGUGUAGCGGUGAAAUGCGUAGAUAUAGGAAGGAACACCAGUGGCGAAGGCGACCACCUGGACUGAUACUGACACUGAGGUGCGAAAGCGUGGGGAGCAAACAGGAUUAGAUACCCCGGUAGUCCACGCCGUAAACGAUGUCGACUAGCCGUUGGGAUCCUUGAGAUCUUAGUGGCGCAGCUAACGCGAUAAGUCGACCGCCUGGGGAGUACGGCCGCAAGGUUAAAACUCAAAGGAAUUGACGGA